CGGAUUUACUGGGUGGAAAGGGAGCGUAGACGGCGGGGCAAGUCUGGAGUGAAAGGCCGGGGCACAACCCCGGGACCGCUCUGGAAACUGCCCGGCUGGAGUGCGGGAGAGGUAAGCGGAAUUCCUAGUGUAGCGGUGAAAUGCGUAGAUAUUAGGAGGAACACCAGUUGCGAAGGCGGCUCUCUGGACUGUAACUGACACUGAGGCACGAAAGCGUGGGGAGCAAACAG
rnacentral:rRNA from 1 species